rnacentral:lncRNA from 1 species
AGCUUUUGGGAGGAUAAUCCACGAUUAAUCCCCAGCCUUCCUGAUGAAAUAUCACUUCAGAUAAUUGCUCGACUGCCCAGAAUUUACUACUUGAAUGCAAAGUUAGUGUCACGCAGCUGGAAAGCCGCAAUUUUGAGUCCAGAACUUUAUAGGUUAAGAAAAUGCCUUGGGACUACAGAGGAGCACCUCUAUAUUCUGACUAAGGUUGAUGGCGAUAAGCUUGUGUGGAAUGCUUUGGACCCGAUGUCCGGGAAAUGGCAAAGGUUACCACCAAUGCCUAAUGUCGGUAUUGAAGAUGGAUCAAGAAGGGGUUUCUCUGGACUUAAGGUGUGGAACAUGGUAGGUUCAAGCACUAGAAUUGCAGAUGCCAUACGAGGUUGGCUUGGGAGAAAGGAUGCAUUGGAUCAAAUUCCAUAUUGUGGAGGUGCUGUUGGAGCAGUUGAUGGCUGCCUCUAUGUCCUGGGUGGAUUUUGCAGAGCUACAGUGAUGAAAAGUGUAUGGCGAUAUGAUCCAAUUCUAAAUGCGUGGAGUGAAGUGAGUCCCAUGUCUACCUGUAGAGCUUAUUGCAAGACAGGUGUUUUAAACAAUAAGCUUUAUGUUGUUGGAGGUGUAAGUCGAGGUCGUGGUGUAUUGAGUCCUCUUCAAUCUGCUGAAGUUUUUGACCCUCGUACUGGAAUAUGGUCUGAAGUCCCUAGCAUGCCAUUUUCAAAAGCUCAGAUGAUGCCAACUGCU